rnacentral:lncRNA from 1 species
AAGAUUGUGUAGUGGUUUUAAAUUUUGUGUCUCCAUUGAUAUAUUUUUUUUUUUUUUUUUUUUUUUUUUUUUUUGACAUCUUUGGAUCGACAAGGCCCGAUCCAUAGCCAAUCCCUACUACGCGGGGUAACGCGAUUUAGUGGAGUCGAACUCCGGUGGGGAAGGCGGAGUCAAGUGGACUUAACCACUUGACUAAAGG